rnacentral:rRNA from 1 species
GACGAACGCUGGCGGCGUGCUUAACACAUGCAAGUCGAACGGAAAGGCCCUGCUUUUGUGGGGUGCUCGAGUGGCGAACGGGUGAGUAACACGUGAGUAACCUGCCCUUGACUUUGGGAUAACUUCAGGAAACUGGGGCUAAUAUCGGAUAGGAGCUCCUGCUGCAUGGUGGGGGUUGGAAAGUUUCGGCGGUUGGGGAUGGACUGGCGGCUUAUCAGCUUGUUGGUGGGGUAGUGGCUUACAAAGGCUUUGACGGGUAGCCGGCCUGAGAGGGUGACCGGCCACAUUGGGACUGAGAUACGGCGCAGACUCCUACGGGAGGCAGCAGUGGGGAAUAUUGCACAAUGGGCGGAAGCCUGAUGCAGCAACGCCGCGUGCGGGAUGACGGCCUUCGGGUUGUAAACCGCUUUCGCCUGUGACGAAGCGUGAGUGACGGUAAUGGGUAAAGAAGCACCGGCUAACUACGUG